GAGGUCAUACCAGUGUAUUGCAUCGGAUCCUAUUAGAACUCUGAAGUUAAGCGUGCUUGGGCGUGAGCAGUACUAGGAUGGGUGACCCCCUGGGAAGUCACCGUGUUGCACCUU
rnacentral:rRNA from 1 species